UGAACUGAGCCCUGGAGGGGGCUCGGACAAGACAACGUCCCUGGAAGCCGCCUGGCGGUUCGCGGCUAGACCACCGAUCUCUGCGGCUCCGGGGAGGAGUGAACGUUAACCCUGGAGCGAAACCAGCGCCUCCUAGUCUGGUCCUAACGACUGUGGGAAAGCUGAGGACAGAGCGGAGCUGAACAUUCCCAGAAGGAGUCUGCGCAGCUGAGACAGCUCUCCUUCAGCGAGUGCUGUAUGGAGUUCAUGGGACAAACGCUCCAUGGCAAGAAUCUCCGAGCAUCUGAAGAGCACCCUGCAGGCUGACCCUGGACCAGCUGCAGAAGCAGCCUGGUUCAGACAGGUUCAGCUCAGGGAGCACCUCCAGCAGACAGGCCUCAUGAAGCUGUGAGCUGUGACAGAAUCUGUUAUCUUUUAUUGGGGAUGCUUCGGUUGCCGAGAUGUCCGGGGGCGUCGGCCAAACACGUUGGGUACUGGUGUUCACAAGGUAUCAGAGAGGCAACUUCCUUGAUAACGCAUUAAUGCCGAAUCAACUUACACCUUACCGUGGCAUGUGAAAAGUUUGAGGAACCUUUUAAAUGAGGGUUUUCUGAGACCUGAUGCAGCCAGGUCAGAUCAAGAUCUUUCCACAGAAG